rnacentral:rRNA from 1 species
UGGGGAAUAUUGCACAAUGGACGGAAGUUUGAUGCAGCGACGCCGCGUGGAGGGUGUAGGCCUUCGGGUUGUGAACUCCUUUUUCUCGCGAAAAAGGCACAGUUUUGGCUGUGUUGAUGGUAGUGGGGGAAGAAGCGCCGGCUAACUACGUGCCAGCAGCCGCGGUAAUACGUAGGGCGCGAGCGUUGUCCGGAUUUAUUGGGCGUAAAGAGCUCGUAGGUGGUUCGUCGCGUCUGUCGUGAAAGCCAGCAGCUUAACUGUUGGUCUGCGGUGGGUACGGGCGGGCUUGAGUGCGGUAGGGGUGACUGGAUUCCUGGUGUAGCGGUGGAAUGCGCAGAUAUCAGGAGGAACACCGAUGGCGAAGGCAGGUCACUGGGCCGUUACUGACACUGAGGAGCGAAAGCGUGGGGAGCGAACAGG